UUGGAUUCAUGCUCCACCA
rnacentral:siRNA from 1 species